CAAAGUUCACUACUGAGUUAAUUCAGCAACAACUGGAUCUAGGCAUUCAUGCUAAUGUUCCAACAAUUACUUUUGCAUUAUUUAGAGGCUAGGUUGUGGGAAAGGGAGGACCAGGGCAGGAAGACAGGUGGAGAAGAGGCAAGGAACUAACAAUGUGACCACAUUUUGUGUCUUAUGAGAAUAUAGGACUGUGAAUUUUAGAAAUAUUAUCUCAGUUAAUUCUCUUAAGACUUUUAUGAGGCCCUGAGGAAUGCCCUAAAAUGAAGCAAGGCGAUCUGUUGAUCUUAAAGCUAAAUUCUGAGUGAAAACAAAAGAAAAUCCUAGCAGUAUCCUGAGAUCGUUAAGGAUGCACAUAAAAAGCUGGGAUUUGAACACAGGGGGCUCUACAUACCAGGAAAGAACUUUACCACUGAGCUACAUCCUCAGGCCCUUCUUUGGUUCUUGAAGAAGCCUUCCUAGCCUGUCCUAGUGGUGAUGUUUAAGUCAAUUCUUAAUGGAGCCUGGCCUAAAGUCUUUGGAGUCCGUCCAUUUAGGAUACAAUGGUGUUCAUGGAUGAGCAGAAUGGAAUUUUUUCUAACUUGAAAACUAAAAAGAAAAAGCAUUUUUGAACACUUUUUUCCCCUUUUGUUCUCUUCAAUUCUGCUCCUUUUUUCGGAACUUUGGAACAGCUUUACUUGAUUAUACCUUGAAUCUGUGAAAGUCAUUUAGAUGAAAACCAAGUGUAACCAGAAAUAUGUAAGCUUUUAGGAUUGUAAUCAUUUUAUGUGGAUGUUUAAAGACAAACUGUGAGGUCUUUUUACCUACUACUAAAGAUAUAUGGAAAUAUACAUGCUCUUUACCUUAAGAUAGGGUUACAUUCUAAUACACCUAUCACGAUUCCAAAAUACCAUAAAUCAAAAAUGCAUUUAAUACAUCUAACAAACUGAACAUCUUCACUUAGCCACACUGUACACUGUAGAGCAUCUCUGUUCACUCUCAUGAUCAUGUGGUUGACUGUGAGCUGUGCCUCACUGUUGCUUAGCAUGGCAAGAGAAGAUCAUACCAUAUACCAUUAGCCUAUGAAGACCAAAAUUCAAAACUCAUAUUACACUUUCUGCUGAAUACAUACAGCCUUUGCAUCACUGUAAAGUUAAAAAGUUGUAACUGAAGCCUUCAUAAACACAAGCACCAUCAGUAGUUAAAAUGAUUGAAAUUGAACACUUCCUGAACAGUUCUAAUUUUCCACAUUUUUAAACAUAUUUUUUAUUGAAUGGCAAUUUUAUUUCUAGGUACAAAAGAUGCAUAUAUUAAUCACUUUUCUACCCUAAAAUGUGAGGAACUAGUCCUAGUUUUACCCAAUACUUUCCUAAACACAUUUAAUUGGAUUUGGAAACAGAAACGUAUGAAGAAAAAAAAAAAGAAUAUCCCUUUGUGAAUGUAAGGAAAGGAAUAUGGGAGCAUUUAAAGUUAUUUUUAAAAAAUAAUGAUGGAGAUCAUUGGACAUACUUGAAAUCUUUGUAAAAAUAUAGCUGUGUAGUACAAUUUUACCUCACACUCACAUGGCAUGAGACAUAUUCCUCAGGUGGCUCUCAGCAGGUACCAGGCAGCCUGAGGUGGGUGAUUAUAGAAUCAGCUGCAGUUCCACCAGAGUGCUAAGUUCAGGGCUCCUUCAGGAAAUCUGAGAUAUCCAGGAACAUAGGUAUUCCUGUAUUCCACCAAGUGGAAUCUUGGGAGAAAACUUUCAAAAACAUCAACAGCAAUGUCCUAGGUUUUAGAGAACUUAAUAUACAUCCAAAUGCCAUGUUACAAUCAUGAUUAAAAUUAGAGGGCUAUGUAAGAGUUUUUAAAACAUAUUUUAAUUAUAUAUUGUUAUUAUGUAUAUUAUUAUAUGUGUUACAUAUUAUAGAAAGUAAUAAUACAUUACCCAAUCAAGCAUAUGAGAAAAUAGGGGGUACAAUGAUCACAUCUUGUAAUCAAUAUUUCAUAGUACAGAAAAAUAUAAAAUAUAUACUUUAUACUGUGAGAUUUAUCUCUAAGUAAUGAGAUAAUAACGAUUGUAUUUUUGUUUUCCUGAUUUUUAAAUGCUCUGCAAUGACUAUUACUUCAACGUAAUGAAAGAAAGAAAAACAGAAGAAAGAAAGAGAAAAGAAGGAAGGGAAGGAAAAAGGGAGAAAGAAAUACAGUAACUUCCGUUCAUGAUGUGGGGGUCAUUUUUGAAAACAUAUUUCUUGACAUAGCUACUUUGUCAUACUUAUAAUUUCUUUAGGUGGAAAUUUCCACCUUCAGACAUGUUAUUACCAUUAUUCUUACUAUCUGCACUGAAAAUGUCCUCCAGUACACAGAACAAGAUUCUAGAUGCUACAGUAUUACAGUAUGAGGAAAAUCUAGAGCAGUUUGGGUUCCAUUGAAUUUUAAGAUAUAAAAAUGGGAUAUAGGGAAAAUGAUGGAUGUAUACAUGUGCAUGUUUGCAUAUGGUAGACUCCAAUUUAGAGAGAAUGGUUAUGGUACAGAUAUAAAUAGCAUGAUACCCAUUCAUGAGUACAUGACCACAGUCUUAGGGUAACUUGUCCAUUUCUAAAAGAUGAAUGGUGAACUAACAGUACCUAUAUGAACAAGAAAAGUUAUUGUUUCCUAAGAAAUUAUAUUGCUUUAGCACAUAUUUCAGAUACAUUUCUUUUGUAAUGGAAACCUAAAUUGGCUUGGAGUGAGCAAGCCAAAUGGGAGACAUUACUUCUCUGAUGCUACUUGAGGCUUACUUACUUUGGUUUGUGCUCCAUGUAUCUUUCUGGUUUAACCAGGAGCCAGGGUCAGAGGUUUUAGGAUUAACAAAAAACACCAAACAAACAUUAGCCUGAUAAUUAAAUAACAGAUUCAGGUCCUCAAUGUAUAUUUUCUUGAGAAUCAGAGUCUCAAACAUUAAAGUCUGAUUAUUUGGACUUAUCCUAAGAUUUAUUUGCCUCCUACUAGUUGGUUAAAUAUUUUUAAAGUACUCAGACAAAAUCCACAAGAAUUGAGCAUUUUCCUUUUUAGUAGUUAAGUCAUAGCCAUGAGUUCCCUUUUUAAAUGGGAAUAAAGUUUUCUAAAAUGCUUACAUGGAUAAAAAGCUUUAUUAGCUGACCAAGGCUGUAUUUCCAAAGAAUGAGAUUUGACUUUUAAACAGAAUCAACGUGGAUGGGAUUGGGAGUUCACUGUGCUCUUCAGAUAUUAUUAAGCUGGAGGCUCAAAAAUAAAAUGAAAAUCUUUGAAGAACUCUCUCAAGAAAAACAGAAGAUUCUGUUACUUAUAUAAUAUCUUCAGUUUGGCCUGUACCUAAACAAAUGUAUGUGUUUGUGUUAUUCCGAAUCUUAAUUUGGGCACUACUGCAAUUCCCAUUUCCUCCCUUUCCCUCUCAUCCCUCUUCCCUAUCUAUAAUUCAUCUAUUCCUCCCAUGCUCCCCCUCCCUACCCCACUAUGAGUCAGCCUCCUUAUAUCAGAGAAAACAUUCACCAUUUGUUUUUUGGGGAUUGGCUAACUUCACUUAGCAUUAUCUUCUCCAGCACCAUCCAUUUACCUGCAAAUGCCAUGAUCUUAUUCUCUUAUAAUGCUGAGUAAUGUUCCAUUGUGUAUAUAUGCCAUAUUUUUUUAAUCCAUUCAUCCACUGAAGGGCAUCUAGGUCUGCUCCACAGUUUAGCUAUUGUGAAUUGUGUUGCUAUAAACAUCCAUGUGGCUAUGUCCCUGUAGUAUUCUGUUUUUAAUUCCUUUUGUAUAGUUUGAGGAGAGGGAUAGCUGGAUCAAAUGGUGGUUCCAUUCCCAGAUUUCCUAUGAAUCUCCAUACUGCUUUCCAUAUUGGCUAUACCAAUUUGUAGUUCCACCAGCAAUGUAUGAGUGUACCUUUUCCCCCACAUCCUUGCCAACACUUACAGUUGUUUGCCUUCAUAAUAGCUGCCAUUCUGACUGGAGUCAGAUGAUAUCUUAGAGUAGUUUUGAUUUGCAUUUCUCUGAUUGCUAGAGAUGAUGAGCACUUUUUCAUAUAUUUGUUGGUUGAUUGUAUAUCCUCUUCUGAGAAGUGUCUGUUUAGAUCCUUGGCCCAUUUGUUUAUUGGGUUAUUUGUUUUUUCAGUGCUUAGCUUUUUGAGUUCUUAUAUAUUCUAGAGAUUAGUGCUCUAUCUGAUGUGUGAGGGGUAAAAAUUUGCUCCCAGAAUGUAGGCUCUCUGUUCACCUCACAGAUUCUUUCUUUUGCUGAGAAGAGACUUUUUAAUUUGAGUCCAUCCCAUUUAUUGAUUUUUGGUUUUAAUUAUAUUGUUAUAGGUUGUGGCCUAAUCCCACAUGAUGAAGAUUAGGGCCUACUUUUUCUUCUAUUAGACUCAGAGUCUCUGGUUUAAUUCCUAGGUCCUUGAUCCAUUUUGAGUUAAGUUUUGUACAUGGUGAGAGAUAGGGGUUUAAUUUCAUUUUGUUGCAUUUGGAUUUCCAGUUUUUCCAGCACCAUUUGUUGAAGCAAUAGUAACAAAAACAGCAUGGUAUUGGCACCAAAACAGACUGGUAGACCAAUGGUACAGAAUAGAGGACACAGAGACUAACCCACAAAAUUAUAAUUAUCUUAUAUUAGACAAAGGUGCCAAUAACAUGCACUGGAGAAAAGAUAACAUCUUCAACAAAUGGUACUGGGAAAUUCCAGCUAUUUUUAGAAACUGCAUAAAAUUGUAUUUUUAUGGAAUGACCGAAUAUCAUUCUAUGAAAUUUCAUCUUAGUUUAUAAAAAAUAAUUGAAAAAUGGUAGCUUAUGCAUGCAUAGCAUAUUAAUAGCCAAAAUCUGUUUUAAGGAUUAUAUUCUAUCAAGAAGAAAGACAAUCCUAUUUGUUAGUGUAAUUGCCUCCUGCUUGAAAACUAGUAGUUUAUCAUCGGGACAAGUUUCUAUUUAAAUGUAAAGACCUUAAUAGUAAAGAAAAUUAGAUAUAUAAACUCAUUACCAUACAGUGUGUAUAUCUUUCUAUCUAAAUAUACACACAGAUAUGUGUAAAUGUAUAUAUAUAUAUAUUUUUUUUCUAUAUGUAGAGUUUUAUGUGGUUGUGGUAAUACUUCACACAUAGAGGUUUUAUUUAUCCUUUCACUUACAACAUUUUAUAAGCAUUUUUCUUUUAUCCACAAUCUUCAAAUGUGAUAUAAUAUUAUGAUAAACUUUGUAAAGUAUAAAAUACAGAAAUAAAAUAGUUAUUAUAUUUGUGA